rnacentral:rRNA from 1 species
GCCCUUGGCGGAUCCGCGGCCGCUGCAGAGUUUGAUCCUGGCUCAGAACGAACGCUGGCGGCGUGCUUAACACAUGCAAGUCGAACGGACCUUUAUUUGAAGGGUAACUGGAUUAUAGAGGUUAGUGGCGCACGGGUGAGUAACACGUAGGCAACCUAUCCUUAAGAGGGGGAUAACUCAGGGAAACUUGAGCUAAUACCGCAUAAGACCACGAACUGGGAUGUUAGUGGUAAAAGGAGAAAUCUGUUUAAGGAGGGGCUUGCGGCCUUAUCAGGUAGUUGGUGAGGUAAUGGCUCACCAAGCCUAAGACGGGUAGCCGGUCUGAGAGGGCGGACGCCACACUGGGACUGAGACACAGGCCCAGACUCCUACGGGAGGCAGCAGUGGGGAAUAUUGCACAAUAGGGCGGAAGCUGGAUGCAGCGACGCCGCGUGGGAGGAAGAAGGCCUUCGGGUUGUAAACUUCUUUUAUAGGGGAAAAUAGUUAUGGUACCCUAUGAAUAAGCCACGGCUAACUCUGUGCCAGCAGCCCCUGUAAGACAGAGCUGGCGAGCGUUGUUCGGAAUUACUGGGCUUAAAGGGCCCUAG